ensembl:lncRNA
CCCUUGCAGUUCGUCUGAGUCACGCUUGCGUCCCCUCAGACUAUUUCUCUAUCUGUCGCACAAGACUGACGCUCCCUCACCACCUUCACUGCUGUUUACUUCUUCUGCCCAAAUGCUUGCAGUCCCUGCGAAGCAAAUGCCCUUCCUCUCAGUGUUGUUACAAGUACACUUCAAUAGUCUCAAAGUGCUUAUUGAAGGAGACAGACUACAGGCAGAGACCCUGCUGUCAGCAGUGGGAAGGCAGAAGGAUGGAGGUGCUCUUCUACACUCCUGCAAAGCAGUUGAUGACUCUCACACAGAAGCCACUGACAGCCCAGAGCAGGCAGAACGAUGAACGUGGCAUGAACAGCAUGGGGUUGAACAGAGAAGAGCCAGCACUGCAAUGUGUGUAGUCAGGAUCUGUGAAAUUUCAGGAACUUAGAUGUGGGGCACAGAAGAAAAUAACGAAGCCCUGCAUCUCUGUAUUUUUUGCAUAAUACCUCUUUUCUGAAGAUCUCAGCUGUUUCAAAAGGAAGAGAGGAAAACCCCAAAGCAUCCUUAUGCCUUGUCUCAAACUCAGGCUCCCAUCCAGUCCCAGCACGUUCCUGUGACUGUGCACAUACACAUACACACAUAUAAAGCCAGCUGUGCAGGGUUUGUACCACCUACUACAGUCUGUAUUUCACACAAUUCCCCGCCAACCAACUGCUUUCUAACUGCUUUCUGGGUGGUCUCACACUGCCCUGCCCACUCCAACAUCAAGCGUUUCUUCCUCCCUCAUUAUUUCCUUCUCACACAUCAGAGCUACUAGGUCAGCGCUGCCACCACAGGCAGAUCAGUUGAAGACGACUUUUCCCAUGUUUCCCUGCUGGUUUCUUAUGGCCUUCCUGGCCCCUGCAGGCUGGGCUCUUCAGCAAACCCCAGACACAAUUGUCCGACUGGGAGACUCUCUGACCCUGAACUGUUCGCACAAGGAGAGUGGAGUCUGGACUAUGUACUGGUACAAGCUGCCAGUGGGGAAGAAUGCCACUCUGCAGCUGAUUUUACGUUCAGUGGAAGGUAGCAAGGCAGAGAUUGAGGAUGAAUUCAAAAGCCGCUUCCAGAGUGAUGGGACUAAGGGGAACUCCUUAUCGGUGAAAAUACAUCAUGUCCUACUCAAUGACUCAGGCACUUAUUUCUGUGCUAAGCAAGAUACACUGUGAUGCAAAGGCUGGAGCAGCAUAGCACAAACCUCUCUCCAUACAACUGGAGACCUGCCCGCAGAACACACAGUCCACUGCGUACCAGUAAAACCAUUUUUCCACUUUUGACCUCCAGCUCUGUCCACUUAAGGGAAGCAGUGGUUUCCUCUCUGUGUCUUAUGCUUGUUCUCUGGUUUUUUUUUCCUUCCCAUCUCUGAAUCAAUUUUGAACUUACUUUUGAUGCAGGUUGUAAUGAUAUUGUUAAACUUGCUAGUGUUCGUUGAUAAAUAGCCCUAAGAAGCUAAGUACCAGAGUGUCAAUUUCUCAUUCUCCCUCCUCAACAAAACAGGGGGAGAAAAUACGAUGGAUAAACAACCAACCAAACAAAAAAUUGUGGUUUGAUGUAGGGCCAGAGAGAUCACUCACCAGUUACCAUCACAGGCAGAACAGACUCAGCAUAAGGGAGGUUAAUGUAAUUUAUUGCCAACUAAUAACUAACUAGAGCAGUGAGAACUAAAAGCAAACUAAAAACACCUUUCCCUCAUCCUCCUUCUAAUUCUUCCCUCUGAGCAGCACAGAGUGAUAGGGUUGUGGUCAACUCAUAAUACUUUGUCUUUGCCACUCCUUCAUCUUCUCUCUUCCCUCCUCCAGCAUGGGGUUCCUCCAAUGAGACCCAGUCCUUCAUGAGCUAAUCCAGUGUGCAUUUCCCAUGGGCUGCAGUUCGUCAAUAACUGCUCCAGUAUGAGGCUGUAGCAUGAAGUGCAGUCAUUCAGGACAGGACUGCUCCAGCAUGGGUCCUCCAUGUGCUGCAGCUCCCAUCUGGUCACCUGCUCUAUUGUGGGCUGCUCUCUGCGGUGAGUCAGAGACAAUGGGAAUUGAAUCAGGGACAGUGAAUGGUUUUUCACAUAACUUGUGUGGACUUCUUGAAUGACAGAAUGUUUGUGUAAAUGUAAGCUCAAGAACAGAAUGUGGAGGCCACGAGAACUUAUUGUUAAGUAAAGAUAAGAAAACAGGUCAGAUGUCCUGAAAGAAGCUUGAAGGUGAACAAGAUGCCUUUGCUUGCAAGUUGUUGUGCAGAAGCUUGUAAAUUCCUUUCCACUUGAUCUGUAAACUCUUACCAAAUACGGGUUUAGUUACCAAGAUCUAUAGACAACUUGAAUUUAUGAACUUUGGACUUACCGUGCAGGCCUAACAGAAUCACAGAAUCAUAGAAUCACCAAGGUUGGAAAAGACCUCCAAGAUCAUCCAGUCCAACCAUCUACCUAUCGCCAAUAGUUCUCACUAAACCAUGUCCCUCAACACAAUGUCUAAAUGUUUCUUGAACGCCUCCAGGGUCAGUGACUCCUCCACCUCCCUGGGCAGCGCGUUCCAGCACCUGACCACUCUUUCAGAAAAGUAGCAUUUCCUAAUGCCCACCCUGAAUCUCCCCUGCUGCAACUUGAGGCCAUUCCCUCUAGUCCUAUCACUAGUUACAUGAGAGAAGAGGCCAGCCCCCAGAUCACUACAAUCUCCCUUCAGGUAGUUACAGAGAGCGAUAAGGUCUCCCCUGAGCCUCCUCUUCUCCAGACUGAACAAUCCCUGCUCCCUCAGCCGCUCCUCGUAAGACCUGUGCUCCAGACCACUCACCAGCUUCAUGCCUUUUCCUGGAUACACUCCAGGGCCUCUUUGUCUUUCUUACAGUGAGUGGCACAAAACUGGACACAGUACUCGAGGUACAGCCUCACCAGGGCUGAGUACAGAGGGACAGUUACUUCCCUGCUCCUGCUAGCAGCACUAUUUCUGAUAUAAGCCAGGAUGCCAUUGGCCUUCUUGGCCACCUGGGCGCACUGCUGGCUCAUGUUCAGCUGAGUAUCGACCAAUACCCCCAGGUCGGUUUCCUCUACACAGUCUUCCAGCCACUCUGCCCCAAUCAUUGCCUGGAAUUGUUGUGGCCGAAGUACAGGACUCAGCACUUGGUCUUGUUGAACCUCAUCCCAUUGGCUUCAGCCCAGCAAUCCAGCCUGUCCACAUCCCUUUGUAGGGCCUUGCUACCCCCAGGCAGAUCGACACUUCUGCCAACUUGGUGUCAUCUGCAAACUUCCUGAGGGUGCUCUCAAUGCCCAUUGCCUUUCCUAUUGCCCCAGCUGCCACUGCCCCAUCAUCAUAAGAUUUCAUAUGUGCUGCAGUGCUGCCAGCACCACUCAAGGCAGCAGGUUCUUCAAGGUUCCUGCUAGCACCCUGUCCCUCUAAUCUAGCUAUGCCAUCCCACACUUUAUCAUGGGAAGGCUCACCAUCCCCCCCAACGCCCUUCAGACCUAGUUGAAAGCCCUCCCAAUGAGCCCUCUAUUUUUUCCCCAAGGACCCUUCUUCCCCUUUGAGAAAGGCAAACCCCACCUGGUGCCCACAAACUCUGUGCCAUAUAGGCCAUUUGGUUGUCAAAAAAACCAAAGUUCUGACAGUGGCACCGAUGAUGAAGCCAGGUAUUUAAAGAUAAGAUCCUUUGAUUUGUCUCCAUGUCCUCCCCCAAUAAUAGGAGACAGAGAAGGAAGGAUGAUCUGUGCAUUCAAUUCCUUUAGCCACUGUCCCUUUUGAUAGCCCUUGAUCCACAUGUAGCUGCUUCACCUCUCCCUUUCUGGAAAAACAGUAAGGGAUUGUGGUCUGAUGGCCGUACCAUGCUACGUAGUUUCCUGGUAACAUCUCUCACCUGAACCCCAGGAAGACAGCAGACUUCUCUAAGAAGAGGGUCUGCUUGGCAUAUUGGACGUUCAGUUCCCUGUAGGGAGGAAUCACCUACAACUAAUAUCCGUCUUUUAUUCUUCAGUGAUGUAGUCUUGAUGUUGGGGGAAGGCUUUUUGUGGUUGCGUUUUGUUAGUUUGUCUAGACUGAACAGACCGUUAUCACCCACAGAUAGGCCUUCUACAACCAGGGCCGCACCCCUGUUGUAGAGAGGCACCUGGAGGGGUGGAGCAGGCAAGGAGGGUUUUUGUUCACAGCUUUGAGCGCAAACUUGCCUCUAUUCACUCCUUUCCUUUGUGUUCUUGCCUCCAGCCUUGCAAUUGUUUUUCUUCAACCUGAUGUGAUACAGGCUGCCUUGGGAUUUGUGUUCUUUCCUUUGAAAUAACCUGUCUGUGCAUGGGUGAACUGUGGUUUCCCUAUUUGUCCCCCAUGACACUUCUUAAUCUAUGUAUUUCAUCCUGUAGCCUCACCACAAGGCAGAGCAGAUCAUCUGCCUACUCACACCUCACACAGCUGUUCUGACUGCUGCCCACAAUGCCAGGGAAAGGCUCAUGCACUCUACGCAGCCAGAGGUCUGGACCGCUACGUGGUUGCCUCCAAAUUCAGCCAGGGUUUCAACAUCCUUCCGGACAGAGGCAGACACCCUUUCUCGCCUUCGAGUGGAUAUCUUGCCUAAAUCUCUGUCCUCGGAGGGUGAUAAUCCUGCACUUAGAGUGUGACGACCCUGUACUUUGCGGGUGGUGAUCGCCUAAUGAACUUCUCUCUCCAGCACGCCGGCUACUCUCCCUCCCUGCUCGAGCUGCCCGCUCUAAGUGCCGGCCACGCCCUGCUUGCCCGUCCCGUCCGCUGCGCCCCCUGGUGGCAGGUUUUGUACACGCAGGGGGUCGGGCCGCUGUCACCCCCCGGCUCUGCCCACACCGCGUCAGCGCUGCCGAACAGCAGGGGCUGCGCACUCCCUUCGCAACGGCUUUUUCCGCCGUGUUUUACCGCGGAUUUACCUUUCUGUGAAGCUGAAGGUCAGCCAAAAGUCACUGUGGUGAAGCGGGAGCUGAAAUAAAGGGGAUGAAGUAGGUGGUCA